rnacentral:rRNA from 1 species
GAGUUUGAUCGUGGCUCAGAUUGAACGCUGGCGGCAGGCCUAACACAUGCAAGUCGAGCGGAUGACGGGAGCUUGCUCCUUGAUUCAGCGGCGGACGGUGAGUAAUGCCUGGGAAUCUGCCUGGUAGUGGGGGACAACGUUUCGAAAGGAACGCUAAUACCGCAUACGUCCUACGGGAGAAAGCAGGGGACCUUCGGGCCUUGCGCUAUCAGAUGAGCCUAGGUCGGAUUAGCUAGUUGGUGGGGUAAUGGCUCACCAAGGCGACGAUCCGUAACUGGUCUGAGAGGAUGAUCAGUCACACUGGAACUGAGACACGGUCCAGACUCCUACGGGAGGCAGCAGUGGGGAAUAUUGGACAAUGGGCG